rnacentral:sRNA from 1 species
GCCAGGUGUGGUGGCACGUGCCUGUAAUCCUAGUGGCUAGGGAGGCUGAGGCAGGAGGAUCAUGAGUUCAAAGUUGCUGAGGCAACUCAGAGAGACCCUGUCUCUA